UUACGGCCAUAUCACGUUGAAACACCGGUUUCCGUGCGAUCACCGAAGUUAAGCAACGUCGAGCCUGGUCAGUACCAAGGCGAGUGGCCCCUUAUGAAUACUAUGUGCUGUAAG